rnacentral:rRNA from 1 species
UACGUAGGCAGCAAGCGUUGUUCGGAGUUACUGGGCGUAAAGGGUGUGUAGGCGGUUCUCUAAGUUUGGUGUGAAAUCUCCCGGCUUAACCGGGAGGGUGCGCCGAAAACUGGAAAGCUAGAGUACUGGAUGGGUAAGUGGAAUUCCUGGUGUAGCGGUGAAAUGCGUAGAUAUCAGGAGGAACACCUGUGGUGUAGACGGCUUACUGGACAGUAACUGACGCUGAGACACGAAAGCGUGGGUAGCAAACAGG